CUCACCGACUGCUGGAGAAACACGCGUUUAAUCCACCGGCCUGCCCCUCACACCGACAAGACAAAAUACACAACAAAUUUGACAAAACGUGUUGAGCAUUUGACUUUGAGUAAUAGUUUAAGCUCAACACAUUUUUACCAAGGAAGGUGAGUUAAGAGCUUGAAUAAGAUUUUUUGUAAGCAUUAAGCAGGAAAUGCUUUCCCAAAUGGUGCCCAAAUCCAUUUCAGUAUGCCACUAUUCAUCGUAAUAUUACUAACCUCCACAUGUUGAAACAUUAAGGGAAUGCAUUUCCUGUGUAGAAUAAUGUAACUUCAUAAAAACAGCAUGGCUUGUGCAAUGUUUGAUUAGAAAAUAAAUGUAUCUGAAAGAAAA